rnacentral:rRNA from 1 species
CCAAUAGCGUAUAUUAAAGUUGUUGCAGUUAAAAAGCUCGUAGUUGAAUUUCGAGACCGGUUUAUUGGUCGUGCUUUUGUACGUACUGGUAUUAUUGGUUUCUCCUUUCUGACGAAUCUUAAUGCCAUUAAUUUGGUGUUUUGGGGAAUCAGGACUGUUACUUUGAAAACAUUAGAGUGUUUAAAGCAGGCUCACGCUUGAAUACAUUAGCAUGGAAUAAAGGAAUAGGACGUUUGAUUCUAUUUUGUUGGUUUCUAGGAUCGACGUAAUGAUUAAUAGGGAUAGUUGUGGGCAUUAGUAUUCAAUUGUCAGAGGUGAAAUUCUUGGAUUUAUUGAAGACUAACUACUGCGAAAGCAUUUGCCAAGGAUGUUUUCAUUAAUCAAGAACGAAAGUUAGGGGAUCGAAGACGAUCAGAUACCGUCGUAGUCUUAACCAUAAACUAUGCCGACUAGGGAUCGGAUGAUGUUAAUUUUUUAAUGACUCAUUCGGCGCCUUACG